rnacentral:rRNA from 1 species
UACGGGGGGGGGCAAGCGUUGUUCGGAAUUACUGGGCGUAAAGGGCUCGUAGGUGGCCAAUUAAGUCAGACGUGAAAUCCCCAGGCUUAACCUGGGAACUGCGUCUGAUACUGGUUGGCUUGAAUUCGGGAGAGGGAUGCAGAAUUCCAGGUGUAGCGGUGAAAUGCGUAGAUAUCUGGAGGAAUACCGGUGGCGAAGGCGGCAUCCUGGACCGAGAUUGACACUGAGGAGCGAAAGCCAGGGGAGCAAACGGG